AACGAACGCUGGCGGCAGGCUUAACACAUGCAAGUCGAACGGGCCCUUCGGGGUCAGUGGCAGACGGGUGAGUAACGCGUGGGAACGUGCCCUUCAGUUUGGGAUAACCCAGGGAAAAUUGGGCUAAUACCGGUUACGUGCGCGAGCAGAAAGAUUUAUCGCUGAAGGAUCGGCCCGCGUCUGAUUAGCUGGUUGGGAGGGUAAUGGCCUACCAAGGCGACGAUCAGUAGCUGGUCUGAGAGGAUGAUCAUCCACAUUGGGACUGAGACACGGCCCAAACUCCUACGGGAGGCAGCAGUGGGGAAUAUUGGACAAUGGGCGCAAGCCUGAUCCAGCCAUGCCGCGUGAGUGAUGAAGGCCUUAGGGUUGUAAAGCUCUUUCAGUGGGGACGAUAAUGACGGUACCCGCAGAAGAAGCCCCGGCUAACUUCGUGCCAGCAGCCGCCGUAA
rnacentral:rRNA from 1 species